rnacentral:rRNA from 1 species
GGUUAAGCGACUAAGCGUACACGGUGGAUGCCCUGGCAGUCAGAGGCGAUGAAGGACGUGCUAAUCUGCGAAAAGCGUCGGUAAGGUGAUAUGAACCGUUAUAACCGGCGAUGUCCGAAUGGGGAAACCCAGUGUGAUUCGUCACACUAUCGUUAACUGAAUACAUAGGUUAACGAGGCGAACCGGGGGAACUGAAACAUCUAAGUACCCCGAGGAAAAGAAAUCAACCGAGAUUCCCCCAGUAGCGGCGAGCGAACGGGGAGCAGCCCAGAGUCUGAAUCAGCUUGUGUGUUAGUGGAACGGUCUGGAAAGUCCGACGGUACAGGGUGAUAGUCCCGUACACCAAAAUGCACAGGCUGUGAACUCGAAGAGUAGGGCGGGACACGUGGUAUCCUGUCUGAAUAUGGGGGGACCAUCCUCCAAGGCUAAAUACUCCUGACUGACCGAUAGUGAACCAGUACCGUGAGGGAAAGGCGAAAAGAACCCCGGCGAGGGGAGUGAAAAAGAACCUGAAACCGUGUACGUACAAGCAGUGGGAGCACCUUCGGGUGUGACUGCGUACCUUUUGUAUAAUGGGUCAGCGACUUAUAUUCUGUAGCAAGGUUAACCGUAUAGGGGAGCCGCAGGGAAACCGAGUCUUAACUGGGCGUUAAGUUGCAGGGUAUAGACCCGAAACCCGGUGAUCUAGCCAUGGGCAGGUUGAAGGUUGGGUAACACUAACUGGAGGACCGAACCGACUAAUGUUGAAAAAUUAGCGGAUGACUUGUGGCUGGGGGUGAAAGGCCAAUCAAACCGGGAGAUAGCUGGUUCUCCCCGAAAGCUAUUUAGGUAGCGCCUCGUGAACUCAUCUUCGGGGGUAGAGCACUGUUUCGGCUAGGGGGUCAUCCCGACUUACCAACCCGAUGCAAACUACGAAUACCGAAGAAUGUUAUCACGGGAGACACACGGCGGGUGCUAACGUCCGUCGUGAAGAGGGAAACAACCCAGACCGCCAGCUAAGGUCCCAAAGUCAUGGUUAAGUGGGAAACGAUGUGGGAAGGCACAGACAGCCAGGAUGUUGGCUUAGAAGCAGCCAUCAUUUAAAGAAAGCGUAAUAGCUCACUGGUCGAGUCGGCCUGCGCGGAAGAUGUAACGGGGCUAAACCAUGCACCGAAGCUGCGGCAGCGACACUAUGUGUUGUUGGGUAGGGGAGCGUUCUGUAAGCCUGCGAAGGUGUGCUGUGAGGCAUGCUGGAGGUAUCAGAAGUGCGAAUGCUGACAUAAGUAACGAUAAAGCGGGUGAAAAGCCCGCUCGCCGGAAGACCAAGGGUUCCUGUCCAACGUUAAUCGGGGCAGGGUGAGUCGACCCCUAAGGCGAGGCCGAAAGGCGUAGUCGAUGGGAAACAGGUUAAUAUUCCUGUACUUGGUGUUACUGCGAAGGGGGGACGGAGAAGGCUAUGUUAGCCGGGCGACGGUUGUCCCGGUUUAAGCAUGUAGGCUGAUUGUCCAGGCAAAUCCGGAUAAUCAAGGCUGAGGUGUGAUGACGAGGCACUACGGUGCUGAAGUAACAAAUGCCCUGCUUCCAGGAAAAGCCUCUAAGCAUCAGGUAACAUUAAAUCGUACCCCAAACCGACACAGGUGGUCAGGUAGAGAAUACCAAGGCGCUUGAGAGAACUCGGGUGAAGGAACUAGGCAAAAUGGUGCCGUAACUUCGGGAGAAGGCACGCUGGUGUGUAGGUGAAGUCCCUGCGGAUGGAGCUGAGACCAGUCGAAGAUACCAGCUGGCUGCAACUGUUUAUUAAAAACACAGCACUGUGCAAACACGAAAGUGGACGUAUACGGUGUGACGCCUGCCCGGUGCCGGAAGGUUAAUUGAUGGGGUUAUCCGUAAGGAGAAGCUCUUGAUCGAAGCCCCGGUAAACGGCGGCCGUAACUAUAACGGUCCUAAGGUAGCGAAAUUCCUUGUCGGGUAAGUUCCGACCUGCACGAAUGGCGUAAUGAUGGCCAGGCUGUCUCCACCCGAGACUCAGUGAAAUUGAACUCGCUGUGAAGAUGCAGUGUACCCGCGGCAAGACGGAAAGACCCCGUGAACCUUUACUAUAGCUUGACACUGAACAUUGAGCCUUGAUGUGUAGGAUAGGUGGGAGGCUUUGAAGCGUGGACGCCAGUCUGCGUGGAGCCAACCUUGAAAUACCACCCUUUAAUGUUUGAUGUUCUAACGUUGGCCCCUUACCGGGGUUGCGGACAGUGUCUGGUGGGUAGUUUGACUGGGGCGGUCUCCUCCCAAAGCGUAACGGAGGAGCACGAAGGUUAGCUAAUCCUGGUCGGACAUCAGGAGGUUAGUGCAAUGGCAUAAGCUAGCUUGACUGCGAGCGUGACGGCGCGAGCAGGUGCGAAAGCAGGUCAUAGUGAUCCGGUGGUUCUGAAUGGAAGGGCCAUCGCUCAACGGAUAAAAGGUACUCCGGGGAUAACAGGCUGAUACCGCCCAAGAGUUCAUAUCGACGGCGGUGUUUGGCACCUCGAUGUCGGCUCAUCACAUCCUGGGGCUGAAGUAGGUCCCAAGGGUAUGGCUGUUCGCCAUUUAAAGUGGUACGCGAGCUGGGUUUAGAACGUCGUGAGACAGUUCGGUCCCUAUCUGCCGUGGGCGCUGGAGAAUUGAGGGGGGCUGCUCCUAGUACGAGAGGACCGGAGUGGACGCAUCACUGGUGUUCGGGUUGUCAUGCCAAUGGCACUGCCCGGUAGCUAAAUGCGGAAGAGAUAAGUGCUGAAAGCAUCUAAGCACGAAACUUGCCCCGAGAUGAGUUCUCCCUGAGACUUUAAGUCUCCUGAAGGAACGUUAAAGACGAUGACGUUGAUAGGCCGGGUGUGUAAGCGCAGCGAUGCGUUGAGCUAACCGGUACUAAUGAACCGUGAGGCUUAACCUU